rnacentral:rRNA from 1 species
CCUACGGGGGGCAGCAGUGGGGAAUAUUGCACAAUGGGGGAAACCCUGAUGCAGCAACGCCGCGUGAGUGAUGACGGCCUGCGGGUGGUAAAGCUCUGGCUUCAGGGACGAGAAUGACGGUACCUGCGGAGGAAGCCACGGCUAACUACGGGCCAGCAGCCGCGGUAAGACGUAGGGGGCGAGCGUGGUCCGGAUUUACUGGGCGUAAAGGGAGCGUAGGGGGACUUUUAAGUGAGAUUUGAAAUCCUCGGGCUCAACUUGAGUGCUGCCUUUCAAACUGGAAGUCUAGAGUGUAGGAGAGGCGACUGGAAUUCCUCGUGUAGCGGUGACAUGCGUAGAGAUUAGGAAGAACCCCAGUGGCGAAGGCGCUUCUCUGGACUGUAACUGACGCUGAGGCUCGAACGCGUGGGGAGCAAACAGGCUUAGAUACCCGGGUAGUC